UAGGGGUUCUGAGAGGAAGGUCCCCCACAUUGGAACUGAGACACGGUCCAAACUCCUACGGGAGGCAGCAGUGAGGAAUAUUGGUCAAUGGGCGAGAGCCUGAACCAGCCAAGUAGCGUGAAGGAUGACUGCCUUAUGGGUUGUAAACUUCUUUUAUAAAGGAAUAAAGUCGGGUAUGCAUACCCGUUUGCAUGUACUUUAUGAAUAAGGAUCGGCUAACUCCGUGCCAGCAGCCGCGGUAAUACGGAGGAUCCGAGCGUUAUCCGGAUUUAUUGGGUUUAAAGGGAGCGUAGAUGGAUGUUUAAGUCAGUUGUGAAAGUUUGCGGCUCAACCGUAAAAUUGCAGUUGAUACUGGAUAUCUUGAGUGCAGUUGAGGCAGGCGGAAUUCGUGGUGUAGCGGUGAAAUGCUUAGAUAUCACGAAGAACUCCGAUUGCGAAGGCAGCCUGCUAAGCUGCAACUGACAUUGAGGCUCGAAAGUGUGGGUAUCAAACAGGAUUAGAUACCCUGGUAGUCCACACGGUAAACGAUGAAUACUCGCUGUUUGCGAUAUACGGCAAGCGGCCAAGCGAAAGCGUUAAGUAUUCCACCUGGGGAGUA
rnacentral:rRNA from 1 species